rnacentral:lncRNA from 1 species
GUAUUUUCUUUCAUGUUCUUUUGAAGUAAAUAUAAUCAGAGAUUUUUAUUUUUUCUAUUGGUUACUCCUCAGCUCCAUGUAUUAGGAGUAAUUCUAUUUAAUUAGUUAGUUUGAAGUGGCACAGCAUUUAGAGGGAAGAAGCAUAUGGUUGGACCCAAAGAAAACAUAACUGAAUACAUUUUUAGAAGAACAGACUUUAAUAAGAUGCUCAUAUUACCUUCUGAGGCCUUAAAGAUCAAAAGUGAUAGCAUAAAAUUCUGAAACACCAUUGGUGCCAGCAUUUUAAAAAGAGUAUGUAUUUGACCCAGAGGCUUGAGAGUCUGGGACAGACAGAGGCAGCAUAAAUAUUUCCUUUAAAAAACAUCUUGCUGAUGAUAGGAGCCUCUAGGGAGAGUUUAGUGAAAGCUUAUUUGCUUCAGUCUUUCCAGUGUCCAUAGGAAAAGAAAUACUUCAACAGAGUUCAUUUGAAAUGGGACAGAAUCAAUCUUUUUUCUUUUUCUUUAAGAAAAAUAACUUUCAGGAAAGGAACUUGCAGGUGUUGCAUACAUGAGCAACACAUACUGCCUGAAUUUUUUAAUCAAUCCCUUGAAAAUAUUCUAUAAAUAAGGGAAUCUAAACACACUGAAAAGGGUUCUUAUCUCAGACUUACAGAUUUUAACCCUUUGUUUGCCUCUGAAAUCUCCAGCCCCUAUCUUGUUUACCUGUUACUGCCAUAUUGUUUUCUUUCAGCAGUACAUGAAAAAAUCUGACAACCAUUUGUCACCUGCAACUAAAUAUCCAGUUCAGAAUACCCUCUGCACUAUCAAUUGCUCCAUAUACAAACUUAUACAUCAUUUACUUUUGGGAGAAUGACAGCAGCAUGGAAAGGGCACUGAAUAAAAAAGCUACAGAAGAUCCUUCAGCCUUUGUCCCAACAACCCAUCUUUGGAGCUUGCACAAACACUUGCUGAGACCCGAUUGUUCAUUACAAUCAAUACAUGUACAAAAUCUGCUUCUAAAAACAAAGAAACUGCCUAGAAGAAUCAUUACCUGACUGGCCAAGACCUCACUGUGCAACAGUCCAACUAUAAAGUUCCUGAAGUCAUUUAUUCCUCUUCACAGUAGGGCAAAGCUUAAUGGAAAACUCUUCAUAGAUGAAAGCCACCUAUUACACUCAGUUCAACUUUUAGAAUAAACAUAAUUCACAUCUCCUCUCUUUCUGCAGCUGCUACUUCAUAUAACAACCAGUAGCAAGCUACUUAAAAACCUCAAUAACUUGAAUCUAACAGCCACAUCAGUAUUUCUUCUUCUAUUCAUGAAAAUCCACAAACUUAAACCACAACAGCAAAAAAGUUUCUUCUUUCUAACAUCAUUAUUUUAGAAUAUAUGAUUUAUCCAUUUCCCUUGGUUUGAAACAGCAACAUAAAAAUUUCAGUUUGUAGGAGCUGCUGGAGUUUUGUGUGCCAUAAAAAGAAAUUGAAAAGCAAUUUAGCCAACAAAACAACUUCAUUUAAAAUGCCAUAUUGGAAUUUUCAGCUUUGAUCACAUGUUCACUUCUGUGUUUUCUUCUUAAGUGAACAGGGAGACAAACACAGCUUAAUGCCAAAAAGUAAUGGAAAACACAGCAAUAGCAGGGCAGCAAACUCC